UGGACUUGCACCAGUGUGCGCUACUUCCCUAACAUCUCCCCACAGCCUUCUCACUCAGCCCAGGAGGCAGAGAUGACCUGUAGUGAGCACAAGUAGGAAGAGGAGAAGCCUUGUUGGCGUCAUCCCCCACUCCUGCAUCAGUUCCGGGACCAUCUCCACAUGUCUAUAUCCUGCCUGCUGUCUUUCAGGCUAGCAUCUGGCCCCUGGAGUGGGGUCUUGUGCAACCACCAUUUCCUAAGCUGCUGCUGCUGCGUGAAGCUUUGCAAGCCUUUCAUCUGCAUUUCCUCAGACCUGACAGGAGACACUGGGAACAUCAAACCUGGUCAUCAAGUUGCAUCCCAGGGAAGAGUCUGGAACGGAAGCUGGCAUGGUAGGAUGGAGGGCUGGUGGAGGGCCCCCAGCUGAACUCUCAGAGGAAGUGUGUGUAUCCUUAACAAGUCUGCAUAGUUUUUAUUUCCUUUUAUAAAAGAUUUACUUUAUUUUUAA